GACGAACGCUGGCGGCGUGCUUAACACAUGCAAGUCGAACGGAAAGACCCUGCUUUUGUGGGGUGCUCGAGUGGCGAACGGGUGAGUAACACGUGAGUAACCUGCCCUUGACUUUGGGAUAACUUCAGGAAACUGGGGCUAAUACCGGAUAGGAGCUCCUGCUGCAUGGUGGGGGUUGGAAAGUUUCGGCGGUUGGGGAUGGACUCGCGGCUUAUCAGCGUGUUGGUGGGGUAGUGGCUUACCAAGGCUUUGACGGGUAGCCGGCCUGAGAGGGUGACCGGCCACAUUGGGACUGGGAUACUGCCCAGACGCCUACGGGAGGCAGCAGUGGGGAAUAUUGCACAAUGGGCGGAAGCCUGAUGCAGCAACGCCGCGUGCGGGAUGACGGCCUUCGGGUUGUAAACCGCUUUCGCCUGUGACGAAGCGUGAGUGACGGUAAUGGGUAAAGAAGCACCGGCUAACUACGUG
rnacentral:rRNA from 1 species